UACAGAGGGUGCGAGCGUUAAUCGGAAUUACUGGGCGUAAAGCGUGCGUAGGUGGAUAUUUAAGUCGGAUGUGAAAUCCCCGGGCUCAACCUGGGAACUGCAUACGAUACUGGGGUAUCUGGAGUAUAGUAGAGGAAAGCGGAAUUCCCGGUGUAGCGGUGAAAUGCGUAGAUAUCGGGAGGAACAUCAAUGGCGAAGGCGGCUUUCUGGACUAAUACUGACACUGAGGUACGAAAGCGUGGGGAGCAAACAGG
rnacentral:rRNA from 1 species